AAACUGAAUAAAGUUGAAAAUUUUUGGAUUUGUACGUGACAGAAUGCUUUGUUAAUGAAAACACGGGCAAUGCCUUCGUAUUUGGGUAUAGACUUUUUAUCAGAGGUACUAAAGCAAAAAGACCUGUUACUCGGUCGCAUGCUGAUCAGUUGCCUCGAACCCUGUGAAGAUGAAUCUGUUCCUUUUUCUCGUUACACUAAAAAUAUGGUUGAUUGGUGUUUGGCUAAAGCAUCCCAAUAUGACAUUGAAAAUACGGAUCCUGCGACGUACCUCUAUGAAAUCCAGCCAUCAAGCGUUGUUUGCAUUCCAGAACAAUUCCUUUCUCUUCGUAACACUG